GACGAACGCUGGCGGCGUGCUUAACACAUGCAAGUCGAACGGAAAGGCCCUGCUUGCAGGGUCCUCGAGUGGCGAACGGGUGAGUAACACGUGGGUGAUCUGCCCCGCACUUCGGGAUAAGCCUGGGAAACUGGGUCUAAUACCGGAUAGGAGCCAUUUUUAGUGUGAUGGUUGGAAAGUUUUUUCGGUGUAGGAUGAGCUCGCGGCCUAUCAGCUUGUUGGUGGGGUAAUGGCCUACCAAGGCGGCGACGGGUAGCCGGCCUGAGAGGGUGGACGGCCACAUUGGGACUGAGAUACGGCCCAGACUCCUACGGGAGGCAGCAGUGGGGAAUAUUGCACAAUGGGCGCAAGCCUGAUGCAGCGACGCCGCGUGGGGGAUGACGGCCUUCGGGUUGGAAACUCCUUUCGCUAGGGACGAAGCUUUUUGUGACGGUACCUAGAUAAGAAGCACCGGCUAACUACGUG
rnacentral:rRNA from 1 species